GACGAACGCUGGCGGCGUGCUUAACACAUGCAAGUCGAACGGGCCUUGUCCCCUUUUUUUUGGGGGUGGGGUUAGUGGCGAACGGGUGAGUAACACGUGAGUAACCUGCCCCUCACUUCUGGAUAACCGCUUGAAAGGGUGGCUAAUACGGGGUGUUCUGGCCUGCUCGCAUGGGUGGGUUUGGAAAGAUUCGACCGGUUUUGGUUGUUUUGGUGGGGGAUGGGCUCGCGGCCUAUCAGCUUGUUGGUGGGGUGAUGGCCUGCCAAGGCUUUGACGGGUAGCCUGCCUGAGAGGGUGGGCGGUCACACUGAGACUGAGACACGGCCCAGACUCCUACGAGAGGCAGCAGUGGGGAAUAUUGCACAAUGGGCGCAAGCCUGAUGCAGCGACGCCGCGUGAGGGAUGGAGGCCUUCGGGUUGUGAACCUCUUUCGCCAGUGAAGAAGGUCCUGCUCUUUGUGGUGGGGUUGACGGUAGCUGGGUUAAUGAAGCGCCGGCUAACUACGUG
rnacentral:rRNA from 1 species